UGUUUUCCUGGCCUUCUUUUAUAUUGUCUUAGGGCUGCAUCCAGUAGGAAGUUGGCGCUAUGCAUUUCAUCUGCUUAUUUUGAGCACUGCACAUCUACUCUGAUAAUAGUUGAUAUAAAGGAGCGUUUACAAAAAUCAUUAUGGAACACCUCACCAUGUACAUGUGCUUUAAUUGGGAUUCCACUCUGCUGCACACAGUAAAUGCACAUAUUAACAAAUCUCACGCAGAAUGACCUAUGUAGCCACCUGGGUGUACAUAUGUGAAUAGAGCUUUGCCAUAAUAUCAUCAUUGCACUGCAUUUCAGUUCAUUAUAUUAGCUCUUCUAGUAGAUUUUAGCAAAAUGAGAUGAAUGAGGACAAAAUACUAUUUUGUGAAUUAUCCUUGAAUGUUAAUUUCAAGAGGUUAUGAAUGAAUGCCAUUUAGUUACAGUGGCAUGCUCUUUUAGUGAUUUAUGUUCUCAUUAUUUUUGCUUUACAAACAAGAGUUACCAUUUCCAAUGGUCUGG